rnacentral:rRNA from 1 species
UACGUAGGGCGCAAGCGUUGUCCGGAAUUAUUGGGCGUAAAGAGCUCGUAGGCGGUUUGUUGCGUCGGCUGUGAAAUCCCGAGGCUCAACCUCGGGUCUGCAGUCGAUACGAGCAAACUAGAGUGUUGCAGGGGAGACUGGAAUUCCUGGUGCAGCGGUGAAAUGCGCAGAUAUCAGGAGGAACACCGGUGGCGAAGGCGGGUCUCUGGGCAACAACUGACGCUGAGGAGCGAAAGCGUGGGGAGCGAACAGG